UACUCAUGGACAAGGCUUGGCUCAUGUCAAAGGAAAUAAAGUUGUUUUAUUCAUUUACAGUAGUGUAAAUUUUUGUUCCCUUUAUGUGGAAAUUAGAGAUUUUGUAGUGAAUAAUGGAGCUACCUACUGUCAAAUGAAUGAAUGACAAAAACAAUGGAGCCUUGGUUAUCAUGACAGCUUUUAAGAUUGAUGUAUGUGCAUAAUACACCAUUAAAACUGUUGAUGUGUCCCAUUACAGUCAUAAAACAUUCAUGUAAUAGGAAUUUAGUUUAUGGUGGAAUAAUAAUAAUUCUAAUAUAAUACAGUUUCCAUUAACGUAAUAGAUUUUACCUGCCAUUGAUGUGACAACUUUCAUGCUGUCAGUGUAACAGAUAUCACAUGAUUGGAUUUUAUUGCCCAAAAAUGUGUAUCAGUAUACCAAUUAUAGUACUUAAUUAAAAAGGUUUUUUAUGUGUAACAACUGAACUGAGGCUGUAAAAACAAGCUAAUUGCACAGCGUUCGAACAUUUGCACAUUUGGUUUUAAACUAAGAAAGUGAUGAUUGUAUCAUCAGAAAGUGUUAGCAUCACGGGACGUUAUCAUGUUAGUUUCUUUUAUAGUCUUUAGGGUUGAUAGGAUCGUUUUGCAAGGAGAAAAUAUUUAAGAUGAGCAGCCUGUUCUCCCAAAGAUUUCUGAUCUGUUAUCUGACCGAUUACUUUUGAUUAAAAUAAAUAAUCAAAUAUAGCCACUGUGUACUGAAGAGAUGUGUGUUUUUAUAUUGACAUCCUUGAUUAAAGUAAACCGUCUGUCCUUUAACCUCACAGUCAUUAUGUCUUUGCCAUGUAAAAAGAAAUCAAUACAACAAACUAAAAAUUCAAUCUCACUCAGUACUGUCCCAUCAUAACAACUCCUCGAUCUUGGUGGAAGCGCGCCUCAUCGUUUGAAUUCAUUUUAAAACACUCAGCCACUGGCUCUGUUUAGACAGAGAUUUAUUGUAAUGAAGAUAUUAACCCUGAAAUUUAUUUUCUGAUAUUUUCACAGAGGAAGUGAGAAUGACAACUAAAUGUGAUGAUUCUGUAGACUGUUAAAGGCUUUACAUUUGUGGAGUAGAUUUGUCAGGAAGUGAAUCUGUCUUUUGCAUUAUAAUAGAUUCAUUUAGUUUAUCUAUAGGUACAGAUGGUCAAAAUCUUUGAAGGAUAAAAAUACCCAAAAGAUGGUUUGAAUAAAUUAUCUUAAAAAUAGCUGGUCUGAUACUGUGAGAUUUUAUUUUGACCUGAGUCUGUCUGAGGGCUUGUUGCUCGAUUACAAAAGGUCUGUCAAUGCAAAUGGAUAGCUUGUAGGUAAUUCAGUAAUGACUAAGAGGGUGCUCAGGUGGGACGUAAUAGAGUGUUAAAUGAGUGAUGCAAAGCUUCACAGACUCAGCUGAAUAGGGAGAGGUUGCACUGGCUGCUUUCAGUGCCGCCUAAUAUACAUACAGUAUUUUUCGUAUGUGUGAGAGCAACUGAUGGGCAAGAUUAAAUUAAUGAUGAUGUUGUACAUGAAACAUACCAAGUGCACUUCUCAAGAGUACUUAUUCACUUAAAGCAAAUGUCCUGUAAUGAUGAUUCACUUAAAUUUACUUCAUCAAUUUUAAUGCAGUAAUAACAUCGUCGGUUAAUCAAAGUAAAAAUGCUGGGCAGUAAUAUAAAUUGCUGAGUGUGAUCAGACUUAAAGACUUGUAACCGUUAUUCGUGCCAUGUAUAUUUCUGAUAUAAAUCAUUUAUAUAGAAAUGGCCUUGAAUGAAUGAGCAAAAAACUGCUCUGUGUCUCUCUCUCCAGUACUUGAAAUAGGAUGUAGAUUUAGAUUGAUCACUCAGGCAUUUUUCUCCUCCUGUGAACUAACCGUGACAAUGUCUGGAACAUUGUUUUGCUUAUUUGAGCAUAGAACAGGCUUGAAAAAGCAUCCCAGUAACAACGCAGUGUCUGAUCCAUGUUACAUUUGUAUUCACAGUACUAAAAGACAUAGAUUUUGAAGUCAUUCAUCGGUAUAGCAACCAUAGUGCAGACUUUUAGAAGCAUAGCUCCCAGGUGCAUGGUUUAUUAUAUAGAGAGCAGAUGUAGCUUGAAGAAACAUUGCUAUUUGAAAGUAUUUAAUUGGAGACUGCAUUUCAAGACAGCCAGCUCUGCCGCUGGUUUUAUUCUAAUUGCCAGCAGCAAUGCACUUAAUGAAGCAAGUGGUGAAGAGUGUGGAUAAAAGAGUGAGAGUGACCAGGUUUCCAAGGCAACAGCAGCGGUAGCCGAGUAGUGCUUUCAUCUUGAGGAAAAGGCUACAGGAGAGCAGUGUUUCCCUGCAGUGCUUCCUGCAGCAGAAUGAAUAUCUAUACAGUAAUAGAUAUAUUUGUGGAAAUGUUGCAGAGGUGAAAAAUGUACGCAAACCUGUGGAGUAAGGCCUAUACAAUCCAGCAGAACAACAGAAGUACAAUAGUGCACCAACUUAAAAGUAACUCUGCAGAGAGAGAGCUUUGAAAGCUUUCUGUCUUAAGAUUUGCCCAAAAAUGCCUUACAAAUCUAUAUCAGUGCAAUUUCUUUGGAUUCCAGAAGGUGUCCAUUUGCACUGUUUCAACCACAGAUGCCCACAAUGGAUCAUUAUUACCCAUGCAGUACAGUUCUACAAACCCAAGCCCGUGGCUCCAACAAAGUAUCAGGUUUGGGGUUUUUUGGUGCACUCCAGCCUCGGGUCGCGUUCAGGUUUGGUUAUUUUCAAAUAUCAUUUAUAAAGAAAUAGCUCUCUUUCUUUUUGCCAAUGGUCUGCAUCCAUGUGUGUCAAGUGUUCCAAGUAGGACACAUUAUGCCCAGCAGGAAAAGACAAAAGAAGCAGAGUGUAGCCGAUGUGUUGCAUUAGCCUAACGGUCAGUAAUGGAUGAAAUAAAGCAAAAAUUUGCUAAAGGGAGAGUCUCAAAAUCCACAGUGAUUCAGGAUAUACUCAUUCACUGUAGGAACAUUAUGGCUGUACAUAGAACUGUCAAGUUCAGUUGGGAAAGACACUCAGUGUUUAAACAAGCCAGGAUCUAGCUAGUUAAUGUUGAGCUUGAUCACACAUUCUCAAACCUACCUCAUAACUGAUAGACCCUCAGUGCAUUCCAAAAUAAACCUGAGAAUUCUGUAGAUAAAUGUAGUCCAUAAUUCUGUUUCUUCCAAGAACCUGUAACAUCAGAUAACAUUACUUACAAAGACAGAACAUUACUGAAUGCAAGCUGCUUCUUAUUAACGCUAGUGCAACAGACUCUGACUACGACAGCCAAAUCAAGGUCUGUGAAGAGAAGAACAGACAACUAAGAUCUGGCAGUGUGUGAAAGAGAAUAAAUGUAUUCGUAGAGAAAGCAGAGAGCUCAGUGCUGCACACACAAUGACCAGAAAGAUGUUGCUGCAUGUGAAUGAUGCAACCACAAGAGAUGACGUAUUAGAGGCGUAGUGAGAGUUCACAGCUAAUAGAGAAAAUGCCAGCUUGACAGUAAGCCUAUGAGACGUAUCAUCAGUAUUUUACUCAUGACCACUGGCAAGAUAAUUAUCCCACAAAAUGUCAGACCUCUGAGGCUGGAAAAACUGCAUCUGGCCCACCAAGGCUUCAAUCAAUCAAAAGCCAAUGUGAGACAGCUUGUAUGAUGGCAAGGCUUGAUUUAAGAUUUUAAACUGCUUAAUAAAAAUGUGGUAUUUAUUCUCAUUUCAUUUUCCUUAUUUAUGUGUUAAAUAUUUAUUUCUCAUGGGUAAUCCAUAUACAAUUGUCCCAUUGUUUAUUAAAGAAUGCAUAGCUUGUUCUAUUGUUGCCAUUAAUCUCAUUGUUCCAAUAAUCCUAAAUUGCUAGAUGUUUAGGCUAUUUAAUACAUUUACUUUACAAUUGAGCAAUGUUCUGCCUUAUUCAUGCUUAAUUAUAUCAUUAUGCUUAAGUGGCAAAUUCUUCUCUCUGUUUACUAGGCCAAUGUCAAUGAUUCUUUUCAAAUGAAUGAACUACACUUUUAUGCCUGAUUAAGAAAGAAGAAACUGAAUUUGGAGCUCUAAGACAAGACAGGCAAGAGAGCGUGUGUGUGUGCACUGGCUCAUGCAUGAUGAUUGGAGUUUCAUUUUCUCAGCUCCGCUAAGAGCGUUGUCUGUAUGCAUCACUGCAGUGAAAUGGACUCUUGCUACAAAAGAUGUUCAUGGGAAGAGAGUUGGGGAGAGGGUUGAGGAGUACGCUUCCAAGCACAAGCACAGUCGUGUAGGCAUCUACUCCAAAAGGAUUUCACACUUGAUUAAAACCUCUCCACAGCUUCCAGGAGGUUUAUGCCACACCAAGCGGCCCCGUGUAAAAUUCGGUGUAGCUCCACAACUAAAAAUCAGUGUACUGGGAAUAA